GGGGGUGAAAGGCUUCGACGAGAUUUAUGAACUGACUGGACGCUUAGAGUGGAUGGCCGUUAACCACUAUAAAACCUCGACCAAAUUAAUAGGUGCAAAAACGCAACCUAAUUACGCUUUCGCCUAAAUUUAUUUAGGUAAGCCAUUCCGCCUUGAUGCCUGCUAGGGGAUUACGGAAUGUUAUAUAGUAGGCUGGACAGCAAUUCAUCUUUUUCCUGUUUUGCUGUUGAGAAUACGGAAAAAUAGCUCGAAGUUAUUUUGUUGGUUUUUUAGCUUCAGGUGAAAUACCAAACCGACUAUCUAAGUAGAAGUUCUUCGGAUCAAAUCUCGGAUGUGGAUUCGACUUCCACCACCUCCACCU
rnacentral:tmRNA from 2 species